GACGAACGCUGGCGGCGUGCCUAACACAUGCAAGUCGAACGGAACUUUUUUAAAAGAUUUCUUCGGAAUGAAUUUGAUUAAGUUUAGUGGCGGACGGGUGAGUAACGCGUGAGUAACCUGCCUCUGAGAGGGGAAUAACAUUCUGAAAAGAAUGCUAAUACCGCAUAAUAUAUAUUUAUCGCAUGGUAGAUAUAUCAAAGAUUUAUCGCUUAGAGAUGGACUCGCGUCCGAUUAGUUAGUUGGUGAGGUAACGGCUCACCAAGACCGCGAUCGGUAGCCGGACUGAGAGGUUGAACGGCCACAUUGGGACUGAGACACGGCCCAGACUCCUACGGGAGGCAGCAGUGGGGGAUAUUGCGCAAUGGGGGAAACCCUGACGCAGCAACGCCGCGUGAAGGAUGAAGGUCCUCGGAUUGUAAACUUCUUUUAUUAAGGACGAAGAAA
rnacentral:rRNA from 1 species